rnacentral:rRNA from 1 species
GGAGGGGGGCGAGCGUUAUUCGGAUUUACUGGGCGUAAAGCGCACGUAGGCGGCUAGGUAUGUCAAAGGGUGAAAGCCCUCGACUCAACCGAGGAACUGCCUUUGAAACUGCUUGGCUUGAGUCCGGGAGAGGGGAGCGGAAUUCCCAGUGUAGCGGUGAAAUGCGUAGAUACUGGGAGGAACGCCGGUGGCGAAGGCGGCUCCCUGGACCGGCACUGACGCUGAGGUGCGAAAGCGUGAGUAGCAAACAGGAUUAGAUACCCUGGUAGUCCACGCCGUAAACGAUGGGCACUAGGUGCAGCGGGUGUCGACCCCUGCUGUGCCGAAGCUAACGCAUUAAGUGCCCCGCCUGGGGAGUACGGUCGCAAGGCUG